rnacentral:tRNA from 1 species
AGCGAGGUGGAGUAGUUGGUUAACUUGCCAGACUCAUUAUCUGGAGAUCGCAGGUUCAAGUCCUGCCCUCGCCA